GAUGAACGCUGGCGGCGUGCCUAAUACAUGCAAGUCGAGCGAACAGACGAGGAGCUUGCUCCUCUGACGUUAGCGGCGGACGGGUGAGUAACACGUGGAUAACCUACCUAUAAGACUGGGAUAACUUCGGGAAACCGGAGCUAAUACCGGAUAAUAUAUUGAACCGCAUGGUUCAAUAGUGAAAGACGGUUUUGCUGUCACUAAUAGAUGGAUCCGCGCCGCAUUAGCUAGUUGGUAAGGUAACGGCUUACCAAGGCAACGAUGCGUAGCCGACCUGAGAGGGGGAUAGGCCACACGGGAACUGGACCACGGACCAGAGUCCUGCGGGAGGCAGCAGUAGGGAAUCUUACGCAAUGGGCGGAAGCAUGACGGAGCAACGCCGCGUGAGUGAUGAAGGUCUUCGGAUCGUAAAACUCUGUUAUUAGGGAAGAACAAAUGUGGAAGUAACUAUGCACGUCUUGACGGUACCUAAUCAGAAAGCAACGGCUAACUACGUG
rnacentral:rRNA from 1 species